rnacentral:rRNA from 1 species
GAUGAACGCUGGCGGCGUGCUUAACACAUGCAAGUCGAACGAUGAAGCCCAGCUUGCUGGGUGGAUUAGUGGCGAACGGGUGAGUAACACGUGAGUAACCUGCCCUUGACUCUGGGAUAAGCCUGGGAAACUGGGUCUAAUACUGGAUAUGACUUCUCAUCGCAUGGUGGGGGGUGGAAAGAUUUAUUGGUCUUGGAUGGACUCGCGGCCUAUCAGCUUGUUGGUGAGGUAAUGGCUCACCAAGGCGACGACGGGUAGCCGGCCUGAGAGGGUGACCGGCCACACUGGGACUGAGACACGGCCCAGACUCCUACGGGAGGCAGCAGUGGGGAAUAUUGCACAAUGGGCGCAAGCCUGAUGCAGCGACGCCGCGUGAGGGAUGACGGCCUUCGGGUUGUAAACCUCUUUCAGUAGGGAAGAAGCGAGAGUGACGGUACCUGCAGAAGAAGCGCCGGCUAGCUACGUG